UGGGGAAUAUUGGACAAUGGGCGCAAGCCUGAUCCAGCCAUGCCGCGUGAGUGAUGAAGGCCCUAGGUUUGUAAAGCUCUUUCACCGGUGAAGAUAAUGACGGUAACCGGAGAAGAAGCCCCGGCUAACUUCGUGCCAGCAGCCGCGGUAAUACGAAGGGGGCUAGCGUUGUUCGGAUUUACUGGGCGUAAAGCGCACGUAGGCGGACUAUUAAGUCAGGGGUGAAAUCCCGGGGCUCAACCCCGGAACUGCCUUUGAUACUGGUAGUCUGGAGUUCGAGAGAGGUGAGUGGAAUUCCGACUGUAGAGGUGAAAUUCGUAGAUAUUCGGAGGAACACCAGUGGCGAAGGCGGCUCACUGGCUCGAUACUGACGCUGAGGUGCGAAAGCGUGGGGAGCAAACAGG
rnacentral:rRNA from 1 species